rnacentral:lncRNA from 1 species
GCGGCCGCGGGUGCUGCCGGGGGGCGCGGCGGGCGCAGCAGAGCGGCGGGCGGCGGCGGCGUCGUCGAGCGCAGACAAUACAAGCGCCUCGGACCGAGUCCCCGAACCUGCCCUAGCCAAAAUGGCGGCCGAGAAAGAGCGGAAGUGACGUUAAAGAGGCUUUUGUAUACUGGAGAUAUAACCAAAAAAGGUCUAAGGUGACUUUACGCAGAGAUUGAAGGAUGAGCAGCAGAUGGUCAUCAAGGAGCAUGGAAACAGCAUUUCAGGCAAAGGAAAAUGGAACUCUGUGAACUCAGAAGCAUGCUAUGGCAUGGAAAGCAAAAAGGAAGGAGCACAAGGCAGAGGUCAGAAAGGGAGGCAGGGGCCAACAAACACAUAGGGGCUUGAGGGACAAGGGAAGGAACUUGGAUUUUUCCCUAGAUGUUAGUGGGAACUCCCUGAACUCCCUGAACUGGAGGGACAAUAAUCUGAUUCUGUUUUUAUGUAUCUAGCUUAAACUCAGAACAGCUUCCAAAAUCUUAUUCACAGAGGUUUUGUGGUCUUUUGGGCUAAGAAUUUAAUUAUAUUGCCUACAAACAAAUAUAACUGUGUAUAUUUUACUAACAUUUAACUAAAUUCUUAUCUUACUGUAUUAACAUUUCCAUGUUUAAUGAUAGCUAGCAUGCCUGUAUUAAUGCAUGUAUUGGAAAUGAUUCAGCAUUUCACUAUUUGGUGUGGUAUUUGUAUUAGGACUGGGUUAUUUUUAUUAUGCUUAAGAGGUUUCCUUCUAUUCUUAAAGUUUUAACUAGAAAAUGGUAGUAAAUAAUAUCUCCUUUAGCAUCUACAGACUUAACCACACUACUUUGUUAACAUAAUGAAUGAAUUAUAAGUGAUUACCAAUAAUGAGCCAUUCUGGCAUUCCUGGAAUAAACCCUUUUGUUCACGGUGAAAAAAAAAAAAAAA